rnacentral:rRNA from 1 species
GAUGAACGCUGGCGGCGUGCCUAAUACAUGCAAGUCGAGCGAAUGGAUUAAGAGCUUGCUCUUAUGAAGUUAGCGGCGGACGGGUGAGUAACACGUGGGUAACCUGCCCAUAAGACUGGGAUAACUCCGGGAAACCGGGGCUAAUACCGGAUAACAUUUUGAACCGCAUGGUUCGAAAUUGAAAGGCGGCUUCGGCUGUCACUUAUGGAUGGACCCGCGUCGCAUUAGCUAGUUGGUGAGGUAACGGCUCACCAAGGCAACGAUGCGUAGCCGACCUGAGAGGGUGAUCGGCCACACUGGGACUGAGACACGGCCCAGACUCCUACGGGAGGCAGCAGUAGGGAAUCUUCCGCAAUGGACGAAAGUCUGACGGAGCAACGCCGCGUGAGUGAUGAAGGCGUUCGGGUCGUAAAACUCUGUUGUUAGGAAGAACAAGUGCUAGUCGAAUAAGCUGGCACCUUGACGGUACCUAACCAGAAAGCCACGGCUAACUACGUGCCAGCCGCCGCGGUAA